rnacentral:rRNA from 1 species
GACGAACGCUGGCGGCGUGCCUAAUACAUGCAAGUUGAGCGAUGAAGCUUGGUGCUUGCACCAAUUUGAAGAGCAGCGAACGGGUGAGUAACGCGUGGGGAAUCUGCCUUUGAGCGGGGGACAACAUUUGGAAACGAAUGCUAAUACCGCAUAACAACUUUAAACAUAAGUUUUAAGUUUGAAAGAUGCAAUUGCAUCACUCAAAGAUGAUCCCGCGUUGUAUUAGCUAGUUGGUGAGGUAAAGGCUCACCAAGGCGAUGAUACAUAGCCGACCUGAGAGGGUGAUCGGCCACAUUGGGACUGAGACACGGCCCAAACUCCUACGGGAGGCAGCAGCAGGGAAUCUUCGGCAAUGGACGAAAGUCUGACCGAGCAACGCCGCGUGAGUGAAGAAGGUUUUCGGAUCGUAAAACUCUGUUGGUAGAGAAGAACGUUGGUGAGAGUGGAAAGCUCAUCAAGUGACGGUAACUACCCAGAAAGGGACGGCUAACUACGUG